rnacentral:misc_RNA from 1 species
AAGUCGUAACAAGGUUUCCGUAGGUGAACCUGCGGAAGGAUCAUUAUUGAAUACGAUUGGUGCUGAUGCUGGCUCUUUACUGAGCAUGUGCUCGUCCAUUCUAUUUAUCUUCUCUUGUGCACAUUUUGUGGCUUUGGUCUGAUAUCUAUCGUCUUCGGACGGAUUGGAGGUCUUGUGGAGACACUACCUCUGCUUUCAACCAAAGUCAUGUUUUCAUAUACCCUUAUAAAGUUACAGAAUGUCUAUUAUUGAUUGCGCUUGUCGUAGUCUUUAAACCUAUACAACUUUCAGCAACGGAUCUCUUGGCUCUC